UACGUAGGGUGCAAGCGUUAAUCGGAAUUACUGGGCGUAAAGCGUGCGCAGGCGGCUUUGCAAGACAGAUGUGAAAUCCCCGGGCUUAACCUGGGAACUGCAUUUGUGACUGCAUGGCUGGAGUGCGGCAGAGGGGGAUGGAAUUCCGCGUGUAGCAGUGAAAUGCGUAGAUAUGCGGAGGAACACCGAUGGCGAAGGCAAUCCCCUGGGCCUGCACUGACGCUCAUGCACGAAAGCGUGGGGAGCGAACCGG
rnacentral:rRNA from 1 species